rnacentral:rRNA from 1 species
AUUGAACGCUGGCGGCAGGCCUAACACAUGCAAGUCGAGCGAGCGGCGGACGGGUGAGUAAUGUAUGGGAAUCUGCCUGAUGGAGGGGGAUAACUACUGGAAACGGUAGCUAAUACCGCAUACCAUCAGAUGUACCCAUAUGGGAUUAGCUUGUUGGUGGGGUAACGGCUCACCAAGGCGACGAUCCCUAGCUGGUCUGAGAGGAUGACCAGCAACACUGGAACUGAGACACGGUCCAGACUCCUACGGGAGGCAGCAGUGGGGAAUAUUGCACAAUGGGCGAAAGCCUGAUGCAGCCAUGCCGCGUGUAUGAAGAAGGCCUUCGGGUUGUAAAGUACUUUCAGUCGGGAGGCGUUACCAACAGAAGAAGCACCGGCUAACUCCGUGCCAGCAGCCGCGGUAAUAC